AACGCAGCCAUUCCCCUGCUGCCAGCGAACCGUCAGCAGCUCGCAGCGAACCCCUGUCACCUACUGCCACACCACCCUUCACCCUGGUCCAAGACCACCUUUCCCCCUGCUCCCAGCUCCCGAUCCUUACCAGCUCCCUGAUAGUCCGUCAGUCCAGAACUCUCCCUGCUGACUGGAUUUCAGCAUCGAUCCUGCAGGAUGUGCAGCCUUGUCCCAGUGAAGGGUGUCAGAGACACCGAGGAAGCCAUGGAUGUGGACAUGGAUGGUGAUGGUGAAGAGAGUAUGGAAGUGGACCUGGAAGAGUAUGUGGAGGAGAUGGAGGUGGACAUGCAAGAGGAAGAAGAGAUGGACGUGGAAGAGGAAGGCGAAAAGGAGGAGGCCAUGGUGCUGGGAUGAGGAGAGUCCCCCAUCAGCAGCAGGACUGACGGACACACUGACCAUGGAAUCGGCCAUGGUGUAUAUAUGUUCUCCAUGUUGUUUCGUGG